rnacentral:tRNA from 1 species
GAGAGAGGCACGCCCAGCAGUGGGGGCUGCUAACCUCCGACCCCCCUGGUUAAAAUCCAGGGCUCUCUCG